rnacentral:rRNA from 1 species
UACGAAGGGGGCUAGCGUUGCUCGGAAUCACUGGGCGUAAAGCGCACGUAGGCGGAUAUUUAAGUCGGUGGUGAAAUCCUGGAGCUCAACUCCAGAACUGCCUCCGAUACUGAAUGUCUUCGAGUCCGGGAGAGGUGAGUGGAACUGCGAGUGUAGAGGUGAAAUUCGUAGAUAUUCGGAAGAACACCAGUGGCGAAGGCGGCUCACUGGCCCGGUACUGACGCUGAGGUGCGAAAGCGUGGGGAGCAAACAGG